UACGGGGGGGGCAAGCGUUGUUCGGAAUUACUGGGCGUAAAGGGCUCGUAGGCGGCCAACUAAGUCAGACGUGAAAUCCCCAGGCUCAACCUGGGAACUGCGUCUGAUACUGGAUGGCUUGAAUCCGGGAGAGGGAUGCAGAAUUCCAGGUGUAGCGGUGAAAUGCGUAGAUAUCUGGAGGAACACCGGUGGCGAAGGCGGCAUCCUGGACCAAGUCUGACGCUGAGGAGCGAAAGCCAGGGGAGCAAACGGG
rnacentral:rRNA from 1 species